AAGUUAAUCCUCCAUUCCAUCUAUUUUUUCGAGAGCUUUUUGCCUAUUUUAAUUCAUUCAUUCAACAAAUAGUGUCGUUGGUUUGUGUUUGUUAGAACAUUGCUGAAACUUAAAUAAAUCGGUGAAAGUAAGGGGUGUUGAGGAAUUUAUCAUGGCCGGUUUAAAUCCUUUUGCUCAGUUUCAAAAGUCGUUCGCAAACGGCGGAGUCGAAUAC
rnacentral:sRNA from 1 species